GAGUAACGCGUGGGUAACCUGCCUUGUACUGGGGGACAACAGUUGGAAACGACUGCUAAUACCGCAUAAGCGCACAGCUUCGCAUGAAGCAGUGUGAAAAACUCCGGUGGUACAAGAUGGACCCGCGUCUGAUUAGCUGGUUGGUGAGGUAACGGCCCACCAAGGCGACGAUCAGUAGCCGGCCUGAGAGGGUGAACGGCCACAUUGGGACUGAGACACGGCCCAAACUCCUACGGGAGGCAGCAGUGGGGAAUAUUGCACAAUGGGGGGAACCCUGAUGCAGCAACGCCGCGUGAGUGAAGAAGUAUUUCGGUAUGUAAAGCUCUAUCAGCAGGAAAGAAAAUGACGGUACCUGACUAAGAAGCCCCGGCUAACUACGUGCCAGCAGCCGCGGUAAUACGUAGGGGGCAAGCGUUAUCCGGAUUUACUGGGUGUAAAGGGAGCGUAGACGGUUUUGCAAGUCUGAAGUGAAAGCCCGGGGCUUAACCCCGGGACUGCUUUGGAAACUGUAGAACUAGAGUGCAGGAGAGGUAAGUGGAAUUCCUAGUGUAGCGGUGAAAUGCGUAGAUAUUAGGAGGAACACCAGUGGCGAAGGCGGCUUACUGGACUGUAACUGACGUUGAGGCUCGAAAGCGUGGGGAGCAAACAGGAUUAGAUACCCUGGUAGUCCACGCCGUAAACGAUGAUUACUAGGUGUUGGUGGGUAUGACCCAUCGGUGCCGCAG
rnacentral:rRNA from 1 species